UGCUGCUCUCUGCUACGGUGGAUAUUUGAAAAGAGCCAUUGGAUUUACUCAUAUUUUCAUCAUGGACAACAUGCAAAGUGUAGCUUCAGCUUUCAAUAUCAGUGUUGUCCUGAAUACAGCACAGCUGUCUUCUGUGGCAAAAGCAGUCUGGACUGGUUGAAGCAGAGUGGGAAGGAUUAUCUUGAAAGUUUCAGUCUGCUGUGAAUCAUCAGAGUACAUACACAGGAUAAACCUGUUCACCACCAGUACAAGGAGAUGAUCGAGGGUGAACAAGCAACAAUUCAGCUUCAAUUUUCUGGAGCCUGGUGUUGUGGCAAAGGAGAUUUCCCUCCGAUGGAAGCAGGUUUCAGUUGCUAUGCAAUGUUGACGUCCUUCCUCCCAGAGAUGUGAAAGCAUUCCUCGGACUGUACACAACCGGCAAACAUAUUUUUGAGAAGAUCAGGACUUUUGCAAUGAAAAGGUCUUGAUCCAAA